CGAAAGCCUGACGGAGCAACGCCGCGUGAGGGAUGGAGGCCUUUGGGCUGUAAACCUCUUUUCUCAAGGAAGAAGAUCUGACGGUACUUGAGGAAUAAGCCACGGCUAAUUCCGUGCCAGCAGCCGCGGUAAUACGGGAGUGGCAAGCGUUAUCCGGAAUUAUUGGGCGUAAAGCGUCCGCAGGCGGCCGUUUAAGUCUGUUGUUAAAUCGUGGAGCUCAACUCCAUCACGGCAAUGGAAACUGUUCGGCUUGAGUAUGGUAGGGGCAGAGGGAAUUUCCGGUGUAGCGGUGAAAUGCGUAGAUAUCGGGAAGAACACCAGUGGCGAAAGCGCUCUGCUGGGCCAUUACUGACGCUCAUGGACGAAAGCCAGGGGAGCGAAAGGGAUUAGAUACCCCUGUAGUCCUGGCCGUAAACGAUGAACACUAGAUGUUGGGGGAAUCGACCCCCUCGGUGUCGUAGCUAACGCGUUAAGUGUUCCGCCUGGGGAGUACGCACGCAAGUGUGAAACUCAAAGGAAUUGACGGGGGCCCGCACAAGCGGUGGAGUAUGUGGUUUAAUUCGAUGCAACGCGAAGAACCUUACCAAGGCUUGACAUCCUGCGAAUCUCUAAGAAAUUAGAGAGUGCCUUCGGGAACGCAGUGACAGGUGGUGCAUGGCUGUCGUCAGCUCGUGUCGUGAGAUGUUGGGUUAAGUCCCGCAACGAGCGCAACCCACGUUUUUAGUUGCCAGCAUUCAGUUGGGCACUCUAGAAAGACUGCCGGUGACAAACCGGAGGAAGGUGUGGACGACGUCAAGUCAUCAUGCCCCUUACGCCUUGGGCUACACACGUACUACAAUGCUGCGGACAAAGAGUAGCGAUCUUGCGAAAGUUAGCUAAUCUCACAAACCGUGGCUCAGUUCAGAUCGUAGGCUGCAACUCGCCUACGUGAAGGAGGAAUCGCUAGUAAUCGCAGGUCAGCAUACUGCGGUGAAUACGUUCCCGGGCCUUGUACACACCGCCCGUCACACCAUGGAAGUUGGCCAUGCCCGAAGUCGUUACUCUAACCUUUUGGAAGAGGGCGCCGAAGGCAGGGCUAAUGACUGGGGUGAAGUCGUAACAAGGUAGCCGUAGCGGAAGCUGCGGCUGGAUCACCUCCUAA
rnacentral:rRNA from 1 species